GAUGAACGCUGACAGAAUGCUUAACACAUGCAAGUCAACUGUGGCGGACGGGUGAGUAACGCGUAAAGAACUUGCCUCACGGAUAGGGACAACAUUUGGAAACGAAUGCUAAUACCUGAUACUGUGAGAGAGCUUUGCGUCCCAUUAGCUAGUUGGAGAGGUAACGGCUCCCCAAGGCGAGGAUGGGUAGCCGGCCUGAGAGGGUGAUCGGCCACAAGGGGACUGGGACACGGCCCUUAGUCCUACGGGAGGAAGGAGUGGGGAAUAUUGGAAAAUGGACCAAAGUCUGAUCAAGCAAUUCUGGGUGAACGAUGAAGUUGUCGGAAUGUAAAGUGCUUUCAGUUGGGAAGCGGUACCAACAGAAGAAGUGACGGCUAAAUACGUGCCAGCAGCCGCGGUAAUUC
rnacentral:rRNA from 1 species